rnacentral:lncRNA from 1 species
UUGUAUAUUUUCUGCUCCAGUGCUAGAAUCAGCCAUUUCUCCAAUGAGCUUUUGGGAGAUAUUUGCUUUCUUGAUUACAGUUAGGAUUUUCUCAUAAGGGAAGUUUGUUGAUGGCCUGCAAACAAAUAGUAAAAUAGUAUGUGAUGUCAUGAAAAUUAAUUGUAUUUUUCCUUCUAGAUUUUGCAUAUAGAAGACGGUAAUUUUAAAAACAGUGAAAGAAGAAAUGUAUCUGAGAAUUCAAUCAGUCAAUAGACUUUAGGCAUCUGAAAAGAAAACACAAGAGGUUCGGUUGGUGCAAUGUUCCUUUCUUCCCAGGACUUUCUGGUCUUCAAGGCUUUCUCAUGAGACAGAAGACUGAUGGAUGUAGAAGUUUCUAAGAGGACAGUUACGCUGCCAUGUUUUGAAGCAGGAAGACGUUACCACUUCUCAAAGGUCUUUAAUUGCCUGACCACUGCUUCUCUUUGGAAGGCUGUCAGGGUGAUGGAAUCUCAGAUCACAGCACAGAUAAAAUGGACAAAGAAAGAAAGAUACAAGAAGGAUGUAAAAAUGUCCAUAAUGAACUCAUGUAUCUUGCGGAAACCUCUAAUCUAAUGAGAAUGGAUUUUGUUGAGAAGAUUGUACACCAACAAUUAAUUAUUCAUGGCAGAGACAUCAUUAAGAUUUCAUUUUGUUUAAAGGCCUCUAAGUGACUUAGGAAAUUAGGUUAAGCUAGAGAAGAAUUUCAAGAAAGAGACAAGGGAAAGCUUUUCGUUAUAUUGACUUUUUCUAAUAUUUUCCAGAUAGAUAUUUUGACUUGGUACAUAAAUUAUACUCUGACUAAAAAUCUCCAAUGAUUUGUCUGAGUAAGAGUCUUCACAUGGGUGGAUCAUAUACCAGUGUGGUCAGAUGGAAGCAGAUGGACAGAGAUUUGUGAAAGGAUUAGGAGGUUCAUUCCAGAAUUCUAUAAUAAUUCAAUUUGGCUUUUUGGUUAGGAAUGUAGUGAGGAGUCUCCUUGAAAUGACAAUGGGAUUUGUGCAACCUGUGACAUUUUGCACUCAAGGAUCCUUUUCCCAGUGCCCUAUGGGAUGUGAGCACCUGUUCACUUACAGUACAUGUAAGAUAAGACACUUUUAAUAAAAACUCUGGAGACCUGGUGUAGUAUAGGCCCUAUGCCUGCUUAUCUUAAAGACAAACACCAGAAACUGGUGUCACGUUGUGAGUUCAAUGUGAGAUUGAUUCAAAACAUAAAGCUAGAGAUCUAGUGUAAAUUUUCAGAGGGAUAUUGAUUACAGGAUCAAUUUCUAUGGGCAAUUAAUGCAGGGGUUUGGUUUAUGUUUGAAUUCCAAGCACCCAGUGGUAUUCAAAAAUAGCAUCCAAUUUUACAUAAAAUGUAAAAUUACAUUUUGUGUUCGAUUUGGGCACCCUGUCAUGAUUUACAAUAAAGGUUUGGGCUUUUGUUUUCUUGUUCCUUCAUUAGAAAGGUUAGAACUUGCCUUUCCUCCAUGA